UUUGGGAGGAGGGGGUUAAAUUUUAACUUUAGCCCCUGUCAUAUCGAAUGUUUGGACACUAAUUAGGAGUAUUAAAUCUAGACUAAUUACAAAACUAAUUACACAACCCCUAGGCUAAAUCGCGAGACGAAUCUAUUAAGCCUAAUUAGUCCAUGAUUUGACAAUGUGGUGCUACAAUAACCAUUCACUAAUGAUGGAUUAAUUAGACUUAAUAGAUUCAUCUCACGAUUUAGCCUAGGGGUUCUGCAAUUAGUUUUGUAAUUAGUUUAUAUUUAGUCCUCCUAAU
rnacentral:lncRNA from 1 species